rnacentral:rRNA from 1 species
GACGAACGCUGGCGGCGUGCUUAACACAUGCAAGUCGAACGAAGUGGCGAACGGGCGAGUAAUACGUGGGUAACCUGCCCUCUUUUUUGGGAUAAGCCUUGGAAACGGGGUCUAAUACCGUAUUAAGGGGGAUGGGCUCGCGGCUUAUUUGCUUGUUGGUGGGGUAAUGGCCUACCAAGGCGGUGACGGGUGGCCGGCCUGAGAGGGUGCCCGGCAACAUUGGGACUGAGAUACGGCCCAGACUCCUACGGGAGGCAGCAGUGGGGGAUAUUGCACAAUGGGCGAAAGCCUGAUGCAGCGACACCGCGUGGGGGAUGAAGGCUUUCGGGUUGUAAAACUCUUUCGCUAUAGACCGGGUAGGUAGAGAGAAAGCGCCGGCUAACUACGUGCCAGCAGCCGCGGUAAUUC